rnacentral:misc_RNA from 1 species
UCCGGCUUGUCGCCGGCGGUCCCUCUAGAGUGCCCAACUUAAUGAUGGCAACUAAAGGCGAGGGUUGCGCUCGUUGCGGGACUUAACCCAACAUCUCACGACACGAGCUGACGACAGCCACGCAGCACCUGUCUCUGAGUCCCUUGCGGGAAAACCCCCUUUAUGGGGCGGUCUCAGGAUGUCAAACCCUGGUAAGGUUCUGCGCGUUGCGUCGAAUUAAACCACAUGCUCCACCGCUUGUGCGGGCCCCCGUCAAUUCCUUUGAGUUUCAACCUUGCGGCCGUACUCCCCAGGCGGAUUGCUUAAUGCGUUAGCUGCGCCACUGAACAGCAAGCUGCCCAACGGCUAGCAAUCAUCGUUUACGGCGUGGACUAC